CAAUAAGCAAAAUAAGGGCGUAUGGGGGAUGCCUAGGCUCUCAGAGGCGAUGAAGGCGUGAUAAGCUGCGAAAAGCUGCGGGGACGGGCACACACCGAUUGAUCCGCAGAUACCGAAUGGGGCAACCCACUAUGUUGAAGACAUAGUACACCGAUAGGUGGGCAAACCCGCUGAACUGAAACAUCUAAGUAGGCGGAGGAGAAGAAAACAAAAGUGAUUCCGUAAGUAGUGGCGAGCGAACGCGGAUUAGCCCAAACCAGCCUUGUUACGGCAUUGACUGGGGUUGUAGGACCACGAUAUUUUAUGUACAAGGAACCGGAAGUUACUGGAAAGUGACGCCAUAGAGGGUGAUAGCCCCGUAUGGGUAACAAGUAUAAUAGAUAGUGGUAUCCUGAGUAGGGCGGGGCACGUGAAACCCUGUCUGAAUUUGGCGGGACCAUCCGCUAAGGCUAAAUACUCCUGAGAGACCGAUAGUGAACCAGUACCGUGAGGGAAAGGUGAAAAGAACCGUGAAUAACGGAGUGAAAUAGAUCCUGAAACCAUACGCUUACAAGCGGUCGGAGCCCUUUCGUGGGGUGACGGCGUGCCUUUUGCAUAAUGAGCCUACGAGUUAACGUUGCUGGCAAGGUUAAGUGAUUAAGUCACGGAUCCGUAGCGAAAGCGAGUCUGAAUAGGGCGCUUUAGUCAGUAGUGUUAGACGCGAAACCGUGUGAUCUACCCAUGGGCAGGAUGAAGCUGUGGUAACACACAGUGGAGGUCCGAACCGGUUGACGUUGAAAAGUCUUCGGAUGACCUGUGGGUAGGGGUGAAAGGCCAAUCAAACUCGGAAAUAGCUCGUACUCCCCGAAAUGCAUUUAGGUGCAGCGUUGUGGAUAAAGUUAUAUAGAGGUAGAGCUACUGAUUGGACUGGGGGCUUCACCGCCUACCAAUUCCUGACAAACUCCGAAUGCUAUAUAAUGUCACAGCAGUGAGGGCUUGGGUGCUAAGGUCCAAGUCCGAGAGGGAAAGAACCCAGACCAUCAGCUAAGGUCCCCAAAUAUAUGCUAAGUUGAAAGAACGAGGUUUGUCUGCCCAGACAGCUAGGAUGUUGGCUUGGAAGCAGCCAUUCAUUUAAAGAGUGCGUAACAGCUCACUAGUCGAGCGGACGAGCAUGGAUAAUAAUCGGGCAUAAGUGUAUUACCGAAGCUAUGGAUUUAGAGUUUACUC
rnacentral:ncRNA from 1 species